rnacentral:rRNA from 1 species
UACGUAGGGGGCAAGCGUUGUCCGGAUUUAUUGGGCGUAAAGAGCGUGUAGGCGGUUUGGUAGGUCCGCUGUGAAAACUCGAGGCUCAACCUCGAGACGCCGGUGGAAACCAUCAGACUAGAGUCCGGAAGAGGAGAGUGGAAUUCCUGGUGUAGCGGUGAAAUGCGCAGAUAUCAGGAAGAACACCCGUGGCUAAGGCGGCUCUCUAGUACGGUACUGACGCUGAGACGCUAAAGCGUGGGGAGCGAACAGG